rnacentral:rRNA from 1 species
GACGAACGCUGGCGGCGUGCUUAACACAUGCAAGUCGAACGGAAAGGCCCUGCUUUUGUGGGGUGCUCGAGUGGCGAACGGGUGAGUAACACGUGAGUAACCUGCCCUUGACUUUGGGAUAAGUUCAGGAAACUGGGGCUAAUACCGGAUAGGAGCUCCUGCUGCAUGGCGGGGGUUGGAAAGUUUCGGCGGUUGGGGAUGGACUCGCGUGUUAUCAGCUUGUUGGGGGGGUAGUGUCUUACCAAGGCUUUGACGGGUAGCCGGUCUGAGAGGGUGACGGGCCACAGUGGGACUGAUAUACGGCCGAGACUCCUACGGGGGACAGCAGGGGGGAAUAUUGCACAAGGGGCGGAAGUCUGAUGCAGCAACCCCGCGUGCGGGAUGACGGCCUUCGUGGUGUAAACCGCUUUCGCGUGUGACGAAGCUUGAGUGACGGUAAUGGGUAAAGAAGCACCGGCUAACUACGUG